rnacentral:lncRNA from 1 species
AGCAGCAGCUUGCUGAUGCAUGUGAUUGCCACGUCUGGGGCUGGACCCCUGCCCAGGAGUGGCAAGGAUAGGUACCCAGGCCACAUAUGACUGUCGUGCAGCUGAUGUACUUGGCUUGCUACCACUGGUGAGUGUGCUGCACACCACAAACAGAAACACAGUGCUAAUUUCAAGGUCUAUUAGAAUCACAAGGCAGUAGAAAUAAUGGUUGAGAGACAGAAAGGGUCACAAUUGUCAGAUUAAGAAGUCCUAUUCCAAAAGUUUCUGGGAGAUGUCGACAAACAAUGGGAAAUAAAUAGAUACACUUUCCGAUAAUAAAAAUGUACUCGACAGUGUGCUUUUGAAAGAGCACAGUGAGGGACUGAAGUGGACAAUAUGUGACCGUGGUUUUUACCCUACACCAUGCAGAACUGCUGAUGGGGUCAGGCGGAGAACAAGCAUCUGUGCGUUCAUGUAAAAGCUAUCGGAAUGCAGUGUUCCCAACAAAUACAUUAAUAACUUUCAACAACCUUCACUUCUGGACAUGAUGUAAUUAAUUUUUGAAUCAGGGAAGCAAAUGGUCUGUGGUCUGAUAUUUUCAUUUGAAAGCAAGUGGGAAGACAAAAGCAAACAGACUUUUUGGCUAUGAGAAAAUGAGUGACCUUCCAAGUAAGGAAUUCAAACUGGAGCUUUCAACUUCGGAGAGGAAUGAGGCUGGAGAACCUUUUUGUAGCAGAAAUGGAAGGUGGAGAAAUGGUUGGGGGUUACAGUGCCCUCCACUGCCCUCUGAGUAGCCACGCCUUUCCCCACUUCGCGGGGCUCCGAUGUCCCUGAACUACUAUUUAACAGGAAAACAUUAUUGCUAACAGGUUUUAUAUUUUUUUAAACAGAGGGCUGGCAUGCCAGCACAUGCUUGAAUGCUCUCACAGUUACAUAUAAACUUUAAAAAGAGGCCCCCUUUUCCCCGAGCCUGACUCAUACUCCAUGCAUCAUAUAACCAGGCUUUGGAAAAGCUCUGAAAAAUGCACAUGGCAAUUGGAUCUAUUUUGCCCGAUCGUGGGAGUGAUAAAAACAGGUAGUGAUCAUUCUAAAAUGCAAAACAAUGAACACACUCAAGUUGAUUUUGGAUUUGACCAUACACGUUUCUCAGAAGAGGGAGCUUUCCUGUGAGUUACCCAUGAUAGAAGAACUGGCAGAUAAGAAUUCUUGGCAGUGAGAAUGCACAAAAGGAAUGAAGCAAAGUUAACUGGGGUUACAGGUCAGGGAGCAUGCAAGAACACGGGUAGAGUUGUGAUCAAAGGAACAAGUGGCUUAUGACAGAACUUCUUUACUAAAGACUCUGAAGUCAAAGUCAUAUUUGUGUUUAAUAUAGAGUAUCCUAUAUGCGUCAACGGGUAUGGAAUGAAAGAAAUGUAUUCAGAUAUGAAGAGAUGGGAGAAACAAGAAGGUCUGUAGAGAAAGUACAGUGAAUAUUUGAAUUUUUAUGUUGGGUCAUAUAAAUUGAUUUUGCUAGUGGCAUACCUUAACAUUUACUACUUACUGAGACUGUUACUAUGCAGUUCACUUUAACCCAGCAGAACAAAUGAAA